AGCCGCGUAGCUCAGCAGAAGAGCAGAUGCCUUUGAAGCAUCCGGUCGUAGGUGCGAAUCCUACCGCGGCUUCCA
rnacentral:tRNA from 1 species